rnacentral:rRNA from 1 species
GUCGAACGCCCCGCAAGGGGAGUGGCAGACGGGUGAGUAACGCGUGGGAAUCUACCGUGCCCUGCGGAAUAGCUCCGGGAAACUGGAAUUAAUACCGCAUACGCCCUACGGGGGAAAGAUUUAUCGGGGUAUGAUGAGCCCGCGUUGGAUUAGCUAGUUGGUGGGGUAAAGGCCUACCAAGGCGACGAUCCAUAGCUGGUCUGAGAGGAUGAUCAGCCACAUUGGGACUGAGACACGGCCCAAACUCCUACGGGAGGCAGCAGUGGGGAAUAUUGGACAAUGGGCGCAAGCCUGAUCCAGCCAUGCCGCGUGAGUGAUGAAGGCCUUAGGGUUGUAAAGCUCUUUCACCGGAGAAGAUAAUGACGGUAUCCGGAGAAGAAGCCCCGGCUAACUUCGUGCCAGCAGCCGCGGUAAUACGAAGGGGGCUAGCGUUGUUCGGAWUUACUGGGCGUAAAGCGC